UAUAUGACAUAAGCUUUGGUAUGCACACAACAAUGGUUGAGGAAUUCUAUUGCAGAGGAAAAACUUGCUAACUUGGCUGAAAUGUUUGAAGAGCUUAAUUUCCAUGAAUCACUUGGUACCACGACUGAAACCAUUGAAGAGUAGGUCAUUAGACCAGUACCAUCAUGAGAUCAAGAGUCAAGACCCCUUUCAAAGGAGCGUGUUGAUCUGUCUCAAAGAACCACAAGUGGUACAAAGGAUGUUUUCAGUUUGUGUUAUGUGUGAUUUAUUAUGUUAUGUCUCUCUUUGAUGUUUGUUUUCAGUUUGUGUUAUCUAUGUAUGACUUAAGACUCAUGUUAUGUCUACGCUCAGUACUAUAUGUUUUCAGUUUUUGUAA